CCUACGGGAGGCAGCAGUGGGGAAUUUUGGACAAUGGGCGCAAGCCUGAUCCAGCCAUGCCGCGUGCGGGAAGAAGGCCUUCGGGUUGUAAACCGCUUUUGUCAGGGAAGAAAUCCUUUGGGCUAAUACCUCGGAGGGAUGACGGUACCUGAAGAAUAAGCACCGGCUAACUACGUGCCAGCAGCCGCGGUAAUACGUAGGGUGCGAGCGUUAAUCGGAAUUACUGGGCGUAAAGCGUGCGCAGGCGGUUAUGCAAGACAGAUGUGAAAUCCCCGGGCUUAACCUGGGAACUGCAUUUGUGACUGCAUAGCUCGAGUACGGCAGAGGGGGAUGGAAUUCCGCGUGUAGCAGUGAAAUGCGUAGAUAUGCGGAGGAACACCGAUGGCGAAGGCAAUCCCCUGGGCCUGUACUGACGCUCAUGCACGAAAGCGUGGGGAGCAAACAGGAUUAGAUACCCUGGUAGUCCACGCCCUAAACGAUGUCAACUGGUUGUUGGACGGCUUGCUGUUCAGUACGAAGCUAACGCGUGAAGUUGACCGCCUGGGGGAGGUACGGCCGCGAGUAGUAACGUUAAAGGUAAAGUUAGACGGCGUGAGACGUGCCGACGGACGACGACGAGGGAGGAGG
rnacentral:rRNA from 1 species